rnacentral:rRNA from 1 species
CCUACGGGUGGCAGCAGUGGGGGAUAUUGGACAAUGGGGGAAACCCUGAUCCAGCGACGCCGCGUGAGUGAAGAAGUAUUUCGGUAUGUAAAGCUCUGUCAGCAGGGAAGAAAGAAAUGACGGUACCUGACCAAGAAGCCCCGGCUAACUACGUGCCAGCAGCCGCGGUAAUACGUAGGCGGCAAGCGUUAUCCGGAAUUACUGGGUGUAAAGGGAGCGUGGACGGUUAUGCAAGUCUGUAGUGAAAGGCGGGGGCUCAACCCUCGGACUGCUCUGGAAACUGUGUAACUUGAGUGCAGUAGAGGUGAGCGGAAUUCCUAGUGUAGCGGUGAAAUGCGUAGAUAUUAGGAGGAACACCAGUGGCGAAGGCGGCUUACUGGACUGUAACUGACGUUGAGGCUCGAAAGCGUGGGGAGCAAACAGGAUUAGAUACCCCAGUAGUC